rnacentral:misc_RNA from 1 species
UCACGUCAUCCCCACCUUCCUCACGGUUUACACCGGCAGUUUUGUUAGAGUCCCCGGCUUUACCCGUUGGCAACUAACAAUAGGGGUUGCGCUCGUUAUAGGACUUAACCAAACACUUCACAGCACGAACUGAAGACAACCAUGCAGCACCUUGUAUUACGUCUUAUAGACUAAGUUGUUUCCAGCUUAUUCGUAAUACAUUUAAGCCUUGGUAAGGUUCCUCGCGUAUCAUCGAAUUAAACCACAUGCUCCACCGCUUGUGCGAAACCCCGUCAAUUCCUUUGAGUUUCAAUCUUGCGAUCGUACUUCCCAGGUGGAUCACUUAUCGCUUUAACUUAGCCACUGAAUAUAGUUUUUCCAAUAGCUAGUGAUCAUAGUUUAGGGCAGUGGACUACCAGGG